UAAACUCGCGGCGGCACCUUUCUUUUAAUCUUAUUUUGCUUAUUUUUAUGACACAGUAUUUAAUUUUAGUAUUCAAGUUAAAGAUUUAUAAGUAGUUUCUUAAGAAUAAUUUGAUAUUGGUUAAGUCUAUAGCUAUAAUUAAUUAAUUAUACAAGUUAUACCAAAUUCGCUCGGUGGCGAACCGGUGGAGCGGUGGGGAAAACAACUUUUUGAAGUUUUUAGUGUAUGCUGCGACCUUGGUCAUUAUCAUACUUAUCGUAUAUUUUACUGGCAACUGUUAUUUCGUAUCAGAUUCGUCUGUUCUCCGAUAUACUGUGUUUUAUCUUUGUGAAACAUGGCAGCAGGCGGUCUCUUGAAAUCCACAAAAUUAACUUUAUGCUCUCUCCAAUCAGCUAAGGCAGCAGCAUCCCAAUGCCGAGCCUUCACGACUCAGCUGACGGAGCAGCAGCAGGAGAUCCAGACCCUGGCCCGCAACUUCUCCAAGGAGCACCUCAAACCGCAGGCCUCUCAGCUUGAUACACAAGCCAGGUUCCCGUUUGAUCUUAUAAAGAAGUUAACAAAGUUAGGCCUAAUGGGGGCCUGCGUGGACUCCGAGUACGGAGGCCUAGGCCUCGACUACUUAUCCCUCGCGCUCGCCGUGGAAGAGAUCUCUCGAGGCUGCGCCAGCACUGGCAUGAUACUGUCAAUACAUAACUUCCUUUAUGCGAACUUGGUUAACGAGAGAGGGACGGAAGAACAGAAGCAGUUGUUUUUGAAGGAUUAUACGGCGGGGAACAUUGGGUGCUUUUCGCUGAGUGAACCAGGCGCUGGCAGCGACGUAGCCAACAUCAGAACCCUGGCUCGACGGGACGGCGACCACUGGAUCCUGAACGGCAAGAAGAGCUGGGUCACCUCCGCGAUAGAGGGCCAAGCUACGGCGGUGUUCGCUACCUUUGACCCCGACCUGCGCCAUAAGGGAUUGGCUUGUUUUCUGGUGCCGCUGGACGCUGAGGGUGUGUUCAGAGGAAACAAGGAACCUCUUAUAGGCGUCAGCGUGUGUCACAGGGCGGCGACUGCCUGCGACCUCAUGCUAGAAGACGUGCGGGUCCCGGCGUCGAGUCUGGAGGGGGAAGCGGGGGAGAGGUUCAAGAUAGCCAUGGCGCAGCUGGACCAAGGCAGGAUUGGUAUCGCGGUGCACGCUGUGGGUAUUGCACAAGCCGCUUUAGAUACGGCGAUCAACUACGCUAAGGAGCGGGAGGCGUUCAGCAAAAACCUAACGCGACUCCCCUCGGUGAAGGAUCGUCUCACAGACAUGUGCAUCCUAGUAGAAUCCGCUCGUUUGCUGACAUAUCGAGCAGCGACCGACGUCAGCACCAAGAACAGUUCUAUGGCGAAGUACGUGGCCGGCCGCAACGCCGCCGCCGUGGCCGACCACUGCGUGCAGAUACUCGGCGGCCGCGGCCUGUCCACCAACUACGACGCGGAGCGACACUUCAGGUAUGUAGAUGUCUAGUAGAAUCCGCUCGUCUGCUGACAUACCGCGCCGCGACCGACAUCAGCACCAAGAACAGUUCUAUGGCGAAGUACGUGGCCGGCCGCAACGCCGCCGCCGUGGCCGACCACUGCGUGCAGAUACUCGGCGGCCGCGGCCUGUCCACCAACUACGACGCGGAGCGACACUUCAGGUAUGUAGAUGUCUAGUAGAAUCCGCUCGUCUGCUGACAUACCGCGCCGCGACCGACAUCAGCACCAAGAACAGUUCUAUGGCGAAGUACGUGGCCGGCCGCAACGCCGUCGCCGUGGCCGACCACUGCGUGCAGAUACUCGGCGGCAGAGGGCUGUCCACCAACUACGACGCGGAGCGACACUUCAGGGAUGCGCGCGGCACACAGAUAUACGGCGGCGUGACGGACAUCCAGAAGCGGCUGGUUGGACAUUUCUUGCUCAAGGAACACGACGCACUCUGAUACUGUUAGUAACACUCCCAUAC